UACGUAGGGGGCAAGCGUUGUCCGGAUUUAUUGGGCGUAAAGCGCACGUAGGCGGCUUUGCAAGUCGGAUGUGAAAUCCCUCGGCUUAACCAAGGAAGUGCAUCCGAAACUGCAGAGCUUGAGUACUUAAGAGGAUCGCGGAAUUCCCGGUGUAGAGGUGAAAUUCGUAGAUAUCGGGAGGAACACCAGUGGCGAAGGCGGCGAUCUGGGAAGAUACUGACGCUGAGGUGCGAAAGCGUGGGGAGCAAACAGG
rnacentral:rRNA from 1 species